rnacentral:misc_RNA from 1 species
CUGAGUUGCAGAACUCCCAACCUUUGUGAACCUACCUAUCGUUGCUUCGGCGGGGGGGGCCCUCAGCGGCCUCGCGCCCACCCCCUCGGGGGAGGCAGCCCGCCGGAGGCGUCCAAACUAUAGCAUACAUUGGCCUCUCUGAGUAGCUUAUAAAAUAAGUCA